GUGCCCACUUCAGCAUCACAUAUAUUAAAGUUGAAAUAAUACAAAGAAGAUUAGCAUGAUCCCUGGCAGAGAUAAUAUGCAAAGCUGUGAUGUCCCCUCUUUUUCU
rnacentral:snRNA from 1 species